ensembl:lncRNA
AAGCUGUUGUGACCUAAACCAAAGUCAAGUAGGUGAGUGUAACAUUCAUGAACGCAUGUGCUACCUAGAAUUCCAUUUUGGGGAGGGCCCGAGAACUGCACGAGACGCGUCCGCGCGCGAGAUCUAUCUCCGCUCGCUGCUGCUGCUGUCGCGCGGCACAUGACAAGCGAGUGCGCGGUGCAGAACCCAGGUGAAUGCUUUCAGGAGGCGGCGGUGACAGUCAGGACGACGCUCCCGACGAGUCAACUUGAUUACAUUUGGGCGCAUCCAAGAGAAGAAAAAACAUGCAUGUCUUCUCCGAAGAAACUUGUAUGCGGAAUCAGAACUGGACCCUAAGAUCGACAAACUUUCCUACAACUGUCAAUGCGUAGGCUACAAUCAAAACAGUGGAGAAAAAUGAGUUGAUAUAUCGCUCAAACAAUGGAAGACAAGCAGAGCCCAGCGAUUUGACCCACAGGAUUAACAAGUCAGUGUUCAUGACAGAGGCCACGAAGGCCCCCCCACACACACACACACACACCCACACCCUAUCCUGAGCCCGAUGCUUGUGUGAAACUCAACCCAUGACUCUCUAAUGGAAGUUAACAUCAGCAUUCUAAGUGGACAUGUGCAUAUCAGAUUCCAGAAUUGUGAUGACCUUAAUUAGCAGUUAGUUAAUUUGCAAUUUAAGACUGGGUAUGUUUUGUAGUAGAUGCAAAAUAAAGCCUAAUGAAAACAUCAGCUGUUAUGCAGUCAGAUUACUUCUAUUUAAAGUUCCUUAGCAGAGUAAAUUUCUAAAUAUGUGACGGACGCACUGCUAAGGUGUGAGUUUCCCAACACUAAUAUAAGACACAGAUGAGCAGCUACUUCAGCCAGGGCAAGACAACACAAAGAAUUGCACAAAUGGCUUGAUAAAGGGCUGGGUACAUUCUUAUGCCAUGCCCUACACUCACAACCACGUACUUUCUUGACAAUCCUUCACAGAUGUGCAAGCCAAGGGCUAAAUGAAAACCAAAAAUGCCAUACCUGCAGAAAGCUGAGCCAGCCAACACAUGGGUGUCAGUUUGCUCGUGUCGUGUAGGAGCAUUUUACGAGGUGAUGUUAAUGGGAUACAGAAAGGAGGUCCUUCUUCUGUAUGCUUCAUUUCAGGGUAUGUCAUCCCUCAGGCCUCCUGAACCUGGGCUGAGGUCAGAAACAGGAGAACCAGAUAGAUUAUCCAGACCAAAUACAAGUUGUUCACACACACACUUUAGAGACACAGAAGACUUUAAAGGUUACACAUCUUGUGGAUUCAUGUACUGGAUAAUGCAAAAAAACAGAUGUUAAUUUCUACUCAGAAAUGUUUCCUAUUGCUCUCUUGCUUGUGUGUUAGUAAUGUUAAAGAUAAUAAAAGAAGAAUUUCUGGUAUUCAUUUUAACUCCAGCCCUCACACCCACACGAGGACAACAAGUCACAUGCUUUCUCAUUUCCACCAGAAGCAACAAGUCAAACAGUCAGGAUAUCGGCUUCCAGUAUAAACUCACAUUGGAUUUGAAUCAGUCUCGUAAAUUUCAAUAAAAGUGAAUCUUUGACACUGCAUCUUUAAUUCUGUCUUCUUUUUUUUUACAGAUAGAACUGGCUCAAUGACUGUAAUAAACUCUGUUCUUCAAAUAAAUCAUCAAGAUGACAGUUUCAAUGCUACAUUAC